rnacentral:misc_RNA from 1 species
CAAAAUGGUCAAAAUAAAGAAACGUCAAAAUUGAAAAAUAACACAAAAAAUGUAAAAAAUGGAAGAUUUGCAUCUCUCGGAACCGUUUUUGAGAUAUUUUUCGGAUGUAUUCUUAUGCUGCGAUGAAGAUCGAUCAGGAAAAGCCUCGCUACAACGAACUGUAGACCUCAUCAAAUCUGGAAAUGUCCCAGAAGAAGUUAUUGCCCAGAUUUCAGAAAUAUGCUGGUCACCAGGUACAACUUGUCUAAGCAAAAAGCAGUUCUUUUCCGCCCUUAAACUAGUGGCUCUUUACCAAGCAAACUUACCCAUUCGCAGUGACCUGAUCAUGAGUAAGGUAGACCUGCCGCUACCCAAAUUUACAUGGGGUCCCCUAGAUGCUGAAUCUCCUGUUCCUGAUCUUAUUGAGUUGAGAAAUGAGCCUGAAUGCAAUACGGAUUCAAUUAGUACGGACUCUGAAGCUGAUAGUGAGACUGUAAGAUGUUCCCCGGACAUGUCAAGUCCUGCCUCUGAUAGCCCAACUCCAACAAACAGUGUUCAAGAUCGAAAUUGGGCUUGGCAAGGUUUAGUGUCUGAAGAACAGAGGCAACUUUUAGAAGAAGAGUCAUCCGAUAAGCAUAGUAGCGAAGAGGACGCAGAAGUGUCAAAUGAAGUGUGGGUCAUAACGCCCGAACAAAAAGAUUAUUACACGAAACAGUUUCAAAAACUACAAGAAAAUCCUAAGGCUUUACUGUCAGGUUCUGUUGCUCGGACAUUUUUUGAAAGAUCUCAAUUACCAGUGCAAGAAUUAAGGAAAAUUUGGCAAUUGGCUGAUGUUACGAAAGAUGGAGCACUUUCAUUGCCAGAAUUCUAUACUGCUAUGCAUUUGGUGGUUUUACGCAAGCACAAAAUCGCAAUCCCUGACGUACUACCUGCCACUUUGGUACCAAUAAAUAAACCGCCAAGUCCAGAAGUAAACUCUGAACCAGUGGUGACCGUCCAACCCAAAGAAGUGGUCAAAGAAUGGACUAAAUUCGCUGAUAGUCCAACUAGUUCAAACGUUUCCUCGCCAGGUAUUAAACCCGUAAAUUUUGAUUUCCAAAUCGAUCAAAACGAUCCUGACCUCCGUCAUCCUGUUGCGAGGAGAUUGACGCCGGAAGUGGUUUCGCAAAUUGUCGCCGAAGAUGUUCCCGAUGCCAUCGAUCUAAGUAGUCCGAAAAAAGCGCCUGAUGUUAAUAAUCUCCAGGUAAGUCAAGUUUCUUCAUUAUCACAACAAAACAGCGCCAUCCAACGACCACAGCCGAAGAAAGUAAACCCAAGAGGACCCGGGGCUAUACCACCUCCUCCCGAUGAAGGAGGACCUGUCAGCCUUCCGGCUUUUUCUGCACCUGCAAAAAAGGAGAAACCUCCUCCACCACCUCCUCCAAGACCCUUUAAAACUCACGGGAGAAGUUCAUCCCUUGAUUUAAACAGACUAACGAAAGCCAGUGCUCCUCCUCCUGUGGUGCCACCACGUGUCAGUCCAAGCAAUCAUUCACGGAAACUCAUAAUUCAAAAGUCAGAACAGAACAACGGGACUACUUACGCGCACGAUAAUUUUGCAGAUUUCGAUCAAUUCGAACAAUACGAAAACGUACAAGAAAAUUGCAUAUUUCCAGGGGAUGUAUAUGAAGCAGAAAGGAAAAAACUCUUUGACAAACUGUUCAAGGAGAGCACUGAUGAGGCACCAAAGAAACAUGGCGCUUUUGAAGUUUACAGAAAACCUGGCAGUGACAAAACUUCAACCCAAUGCCCAGAUACCUUAGAAGAAGAACAAUGGGAGGAAAUAGAAAAGCUGCAAGUGGAAAACGCCGCACUACUGAGGAUUUGUCAAGAACUGAGCCAAGAAUUAGCGGAUUUAAAGCAAGAAAAGCUUAAAAUGAAAGUUAAAUUAGAGAGGUUGCAAGCUAAAGCACCUAACGGAGGUUAAAUCAUUUUUUUACAAAGAAUUGAGGUAACUUUAUUCAAUUUUAGAAAUAUUGUAGAUUUUUUUUAUUUUGUAAGAGGUCUAGCAGCCGAAGGCUGAAAAUUUUCAUUGUCUUUAUUUAUUGAAAUCGUAAAUUUUCUUUGAUGGGUAGGAUAGGUUAUAUUUGAAAUAUCGUUGUUGAAUGCUAGGUACAUACAUCUAACAGUAGUGGGCUUCAAACGAUUAAAACUAGGCCUUUAUUACCUUUAAUGACCAAAAGUCCACUAUCCCUAAAAACAAAGUGAAAAUCUUUAAAAUUUAUAGAAGAUACAAUCAUGAAAAAAGAAGUUUUUAUUAUAAUUAGCAUUAUUAUUGUUAGGUAGAUUAAAUUUAUUGAAUAAGUUUAAAGAUUGGUGUACAGUUAUAUUAUAUUAUAAGAACAUGGAUAAAAAAUUUAUUAAAAGCAUUGUUAAAAAAUAAAUGUGAUACGUAGGAUAUAGGAGUAAAGAUCGCCCUUUUAAAUUUUUUUGAUUUCCUUUUUAUACAUUGUAUUAUUUAUUUCUUCAUAUUGUGACUACUUAAUUCGAGUUUUAUGACUAUUUUUCAGUAUUUUUUGGUUGAGAAUCUCUAAGUUUUAGCUAUAAAAAUAAAUAUGACUAAUAAUGGACUAAUGGAAUAAUAUUUUAUUGGCAUGUAAUAACAAAGCUUAGGGUCAAAGUGGGCGAAUAUCGAUUGGUUAAGAAAUAAUUUUUGACAAAUAAUAGAAAUCUUCAUUCAAACAACUGUCAAUGUUUCAUUCAAAAAAGACUUUCAUAAGUCUUUUUAUUGUCUAAAUACUAUUAAAAGACUUAAACUUUUAGAGAAGGGGUUGACAGAAAUAUCUACUGGUAAAUUACCAAUAAUUGAUUUUGUACUUUUUGUCCCUGUUCCUGGACACCAUUUUAGAGGUUAAGUCGGUGAAACCCACAAUCGUGUUGAUUUUUAACUUAUAUAUGGCAAAAAAACUCCGCAAGCAGAGCAAGCAAAUAUGAUAUAUAUGAUCAUUUUUGUAGUAUUUACUCAGGACCGUUAGUUACAUUAUUUUCGAGUAAUAUUUACGAAUGAGAAUUUGGGCGGCAAAAAAACUCAAUUCAGUUUGUUCUAACGUUUCCACAUUUGUUAUGUCUUUCUCAAGAGUUCUAUAAUAAUAAUAAUGUAAUAAAUUUAUUUGUCUUCAAAAAUAGUUACAAUUCUAGAAUAAACAAAAGUUCGUGCAAAAAAAAAUAAAUAAACAACCAAACACGAACGAUCAAGUCAUACGAAUAUUCUCUCAAUUUAAAAAAUAAAACGUUUUUUACAGUUUUUAAGUUGUAGGAUAUUUUGCUUUUCCUUUUUCAAUAUUUUUUAAAGUGUUACUAUUUUCCCAUGUGUUAUACCAUCUAUAGAAUUUUGGCAUCAAACAAAAUUCGGACAUCAAACAAAAACUUACAAAUUUUUGUUUAAUUAUAUGCUCAGGAUGCUGAAUGCAGGCUUAUGCUCGCAUGCCAAUAGAUAAAGUGACAUUUUUUAUUUCACUCUCAUUUUUGUAUUUGAAUGGCUCCGCCGAACAACGUUGCAAGUGACAAAAACUUAUUUUUUCAGAAAAUCAAAAAAACACUGAUUGUUCAAUGAAAUUAAUUUCUAAUUUACAAUUUCUUAUUAUAAACGAGGCUUUGUUAUUGAGUGAAAUCACCUAUAAGAGAAAAUAUUAUUAUACUAUCAUAUCUUACUGAGAAAUUGACAUUUUAAAAGUAUUUUUUCGGGUACAACGUUGUAAGCGACGGCGCUUGCAACGUUGUUCUUUGAACAAAACGUAUAAUACUGAAUUAAAUGGGCUGAUUCAAUAAUGUAAGUAGGUAGUUUUCAAAUAUGAUCUUUAAUAAUAAUGAAUACAAAAAACUUAAGUUUUCUUAUUGUUCAACCUUAAUAUUUUCAUAAAAAGGCACAUGUAUUUACACAUAUCCAACAAGUCCUUUUUCUUUGCCGCUUUGAUCGGGAGUCUAUCCUUGUAUAAAGGUGGGAACCGAGAAACUUUUACUGAGGGCAUACUUCUCUGCCCUGGUCCCUUUACUUUUUUUGCUAAUGAGUGCGAAGUCCAUGUUUGAAGGACGUUGUGUGAUUUCCUUCCACGCAAUGUUAUAGGAUCAUCCUUUGUAAUUUGGUACCAUACAUGACUAGUUACACUGAGUUUAUUUUUUUCCAGUGAAUCUAACGUAAUGUCGGUGUUUUUAAAGUCUGCUGUAUCCAGACAGUAAAACGAUUGGGUGGUCCCUUGGCAUUAGGUAUGACUUCCACCCAUUGGUGAGGAACAUACACUUUUUUACCCUUUUUUGCUCGUUCAAUUAGAGCAAAGUCCCUGUUACAGGGUAGAAAACUAUGACCCGUCGUCAUAAACUUUUGCUCAACGGUAGUGAAAUAUUCAUUCAAGAGCCGGUGCUGCAAAACAGGUAUAAUCUGCCAGUUGUUGUUCUGACCUACGCAUCUAUCAGACCAAAGCUUAAGAAUUCUCACUUAGCCUGUCUUCAACUUUGUAAAGUUAAGCUCAACAUAUUUUAAAAUGCAUGAUGCUAUUUCCGCAGCACCUCGCAUGGCAGUGGUCUCAUCCCAGAAAAACAUAUAAGCCAUGUCUCCCCUGGUCAUGUAUAGCCAAAUUGUAGCACGAUAGUUGCCUCUGGUAAAAUACGUUACUAUGCGUGAGGUUUGGGCAAAAUAAAACUUGUUGUAGGUCUACACAAAGCACAACGUUUUCAGAGCUGAAUAUGGCACUCUCUUUAUCUUCAGCAAGCGCCUUGUAAGCAGAGUCAGCCCUCAUAUGAUGAAGUUUGCUUUGAUUUUCAAUAAUUUUUUUUCUCUCUUCAGUAGCAGCUGCAAUGAGCUGAAUGUGCAGCUGAUCACAAUAAGUACAGGUAUCGGACCUAGGCAGAUCAAAUCUUAAGUUGAACUCACUUUGAAAAACAUCACGGUACAUGUGAAGUUUUGCAGUACUGUCGGUGUAUUUAAUCGUAGCCGAUCGAUAGUUCUAGCCUGGACACUUAUCCCCGCUUCCAUCGAUACCUCACAACAGAAGCCGAAAUCAUGCGAGGCGACGACCGCAUCGCGAUGGCAAAAAUUCCGCGCUGGGGCACAUAUUUUGCGUUAAUUCGAAAUAAUAUUUUACUGCAGUUAUUAUUGUAGUUUAUAGUAAGAUUACGCAUUUAAAAUUUUAAACUACCAAACUAUUUUGAUUCUCGCUUUGAGUUUUAAAAAGAAUAAAAAUUCGGUAUUUAAAUUAGGUGGGUAAAUUAACAAUUUUAUUUUUAACUUACAUUUUACAAUCUUAAUUUUAUUUAGAAUAAUGCCUACCUCUUUCUGCAUUCCUGGGUGCAAAAGCGAUUAUAAAGAUACCGAGAGAGUUGCCAUUUUUCGUUUUCCCAAUAACCCGGAUCAAAAGAAAAGAUGGUUAGAAUGCAUUGAAAGAGACGACGUAGUGAUAAAAGAAUCAUCAAGGAUCUGCAUAAAACAUUUUUCUGAAUGUUUCAUUAUUCGUGAGGAUAUAGUGGCUAGGAAGGAUGGAACAAUUUUAAAGGUUUCUCGAAAAAGAGUAAAGCUGUCAGAAGAUGCCUGCCCUAAAAUAUUUGAGAAUCAGCCAUUCACAACCCAUACCCCUACAAAAAAAAAUCACGGGUCUUACAAGAGUUAGAACUUGAGCCACAAAUGAUAAAUAAAGAAAAUAAGGAACAAAAAGAUUGUAUAAAUACAUUUGAAGAACUAACAGGUAGUAUUUUGCAUAUAGUUCAAAAAAAUGUUAGCAAUUAUUUUAAUUUUAAAAUAUCUACUGAUCAUAUCAAUAUUUUUUAUGUUACUGAAAGUGACUUAACCAGUUUGCCAGUUAUUCUUAAGGGGGUAGUGGGAGAUAGAGCUGUGCGAAUUUCUCAUUACUGUGCUACUGUUUAAGCUCAGAAAAAAUUAAAAUGGAUUUUUAAUUUUUUUUUUGGUUUUUUUUUAUUAUUUUUGGAAUCAUUCAAAUUUUCGAUUUUUUAAAUAAGCAACAAAAAUUUGGCGUAGGUACCUACCUAAUUUUGUUUUCGGCAUUAACAUUUUUACGAAAAAGUAAUAAACCAAUGCAAAAACUUACCCAUAGCAACCAAGAUAACCCACAAAAGUGUCAAGAAUAAGUUUUAAAAUUAUUUUUUUUUAUAUGGCAUAUUCUUUUAUAAGUAAAUAAUGUGCAACUUUGGGGUAAAUUAUCCAUUUUCGUAUUUUGAGGGUAGACGAAUUUGAAACACCGUUUAUGUAUAUUUUUCCAAUAAAAUAAAUAAUAAUAAAUAUUUAAAACAUUUAUCAUAUACCUAAAAAUACGUAAUAUUAAAAAAAAAUAUAUUAUCUUGUAAAAUGUAAAAUAUUAGGUCCCGCGGUAUCUCCACUUAGUCGUUCCACUGUACGGCGUGCGCCACCAAAUCUCGGCUUCAAUUUUGACGCCACGAAACCAGUGUCACGGCUAGAACUAUCGAUCGGCUACGAUUUAAUGCAGAAAAGCUGCCACAUUUUCUUGAUACUCAGGUCAGGAUUCAAACAUUCCUUUUUGCUCAUAUUUCUGGAGUAGUGGUUUUCUUGACGAGGAAAAGAAGAAAUAUGCUGUUUCAUCUGUUCUUUUGUUUCAUCAGGGAUCCUAGUAUGAUUUCCAUGCGCGCCUCUGCCAUCGGUCAAGGGCGUGGUGAACUUUAUUUUGUCAACGAGAAUCUGUAGGCGUCUAGGUGUAACCUUCAUUAUGUGGCAAAGUGUCUUUUGGCAUACGCGAACGGUAGCAUCUUUCUUUCGGACAUAAUAUUGAACUGAACAAUGUCUAGUAGAGAUGUUUUCAUUCACUCGACGGCGAUUUAUAUCCCCUAUAUUGAUGCAAGAAGCAAGAAACCUUGUUUGUUGUUUAUAGUCCAUACUGUAGAAGUCCCUAAAUAAUUUUAGCAUUUCUUUAUGGGCAACCAAUCCACUUGUAUUGACACUUGCAUAUUCUACCCUAAAACAGCAAAAUAACUAACCUGUAAAACUGUAACGCACAUCCAAAAUGUUGCACUGGCCGCUUUCUUUUGGAUAUGUAUGGAUUUCCAGAAUCCCUUGAACGCUUACGACACUUAUCUUUCCACUCACUAACUUUAAUUUUUCUCUUUUUACCAUUAUUUAAGCGCUUUUGAUCACCAGGCGAAAAAACAACACUCUCCGCGCCGGACAUUUUGUCGGUUGCAACGUUGUUCCGAGCGCGUCAACCUGUUUUCGAAGUCAUUUAACGUGCUGCCAUCUAAACCACAUUCAUAUAAAACUGAUACCAAAAACUGCCAUGCGGUAGAAAAUGUCGUUUACAACGUUAUUUUCUGAAAAUCUCAAUAUCGCAAUUAAUGUCGCUUACAACGUUGUUCGGCGGAGCCAUGCAUUUAUUGGGCAAUCUAUAGAAUAUACUCCACCUAGUCCUCUGUGGGGUUUGUAACUUGUCAAGGAUUAUGAUCAGGAUAUCUAGGUCGCUAUGCAAUAGGACCAACACGACCAAUCUAUUGUGGAUAAUUGAGGCUAUGAGUGCAAAAACGGACUAACCCCAAUAUUAUUAAAUGCUAAAAAAUUGGUUUAAACAAAUACGGAAAUGUAAGGGAGAGCACCCACCAAAGCAGCGAUAUGCUUGAAGUGAAGCGUACCUGAAACGCAAGUCAAGUGUAGAACAUGGGUGCGUCUUGUGAUCGCGUACCAAAAUGGUAUACAAAACGCAUGCAAAUUGAAGAUGUUUAAUGUUUUUAAGGAAGUAAACUUGUAUCCGGAUAAAUUCAGGUUAUUCUACAUGAUGAGUCGGGAGACUUUCAAACUUUUAGCUGAGAAAGUCCGUUCUUUUAUUCAAAAAAGAGAUACGAACUACAGGCAAAGCGUGUCUACAGAAGAACGUCUGCUUAUUACUUUGAGGUCAGUAUAAAUAUGUUUAAUAAUAUUUUAAAGCAUAAUAUAAUUUUUUUACCAGUAAUAACAGAAGUAGGCGGUUAUAUAAUUAAGUUUUAGCUAAAUUUAUAUAAUUUUGUCAGUUAAGUAAAAAAUUCUGCUGUCGAACUUUUCUUUAUUUGUCUGAUAAAUAACACUGGCUUGUUAGAAUUAUGAAAUUUCUAUUAUUUGCGUUAAAACAAGAUUCAGCUUAUUCUUCCUGCUGAGGGUUGUUCCAAAGUAGAUUAGUAUCUUAUUGGGAUGCUGGUUGAUGUACUGUAAACUGAGCAACACUACUAUAUUGAGCAUUGAGUUGGGAGCGAGGGAUAAGGUACUUCCAUCACACUUUUCCCAUAUCCGAAGCUAAUGAGAUUAUACCAAUCUUGAAUCUUCUCUUUUAUUCUGGAUUCAUUGUUUACAUGUCCGGAACCAUACUUGAUAAAAAUCAAACUUCAGGAUCUUUUGUUACACCUUGUUAAAAUGCAGGGGUUCCUUUGGACUCACUAGAAUAGAAUAGUCUCAAAACAUUUAAUUGUUUUGCUAUAGUUUGCCAAGCUUUCUCCUACACAUUCGAUGAUAAUAUCUUUGCUAGUAAUAUCGUAGAGUCAUGGGUGAGAUUCUAUUAACUGUGCGAAUUUAACAUUAAAUUCUUGAUCAUCACGCAUAUUUUUAAUAAAUGUAUAAACAAAAGUAUUCAAUCUUAAUUUUAUACAUAACCUAAAACAUAUUAGCACUUCGCACUACACGCAUAUUAGCACAACGCUGCACUUAACUGCACACAUCAUUCCUUUUCUCUUCAAGCCACAUCUUUGGUGGGCACUCUCCCUAAGUGCGCAAAACACUUUUAAAAGGACAUUUUUGUAGUUCGAAUAAAUUGAAUGUUCUUGAGUGUUACUUAAAUUUGCGGAAUUUGUUUUAAAUUUUUGGAUAUGGCUAGUAUUCGAUUUUUCUAUGUGGGUUAAUCCAUUCUGCAUUUAAAAUAGAUUGGGUUUUUUAAUGGGUUACUAUAACUUAAGCUAUAAUAAGAAUUACGCCAAAAACUUUAUUACUCGUAUUGUCACGGGAAUAAAUAAAAAAAAAUAGAAACUUAAUUUUUUUAUUAAGUAGCUAGUUAUUAAAUAGGUAAAGUUUCUUCUUCCUCAAUUGGGCCAAUUACUUCACCUCCAGUCGCUUGAGCGGAUGACCUCAGAUUUUUAUAAAAAUCUUGGUAUAUAGGAGGGAUUAAUUCCAUUAACUCAAGGGAGAUCUUUCUUUUUAGCUUCAUUAAUGCCAUUACCAUUUGGGUAUAAAAGGGUCAGUUCCUUAAUUUCCUUGGAAACAGAUUUCCUUUUAUUAAGAUCUACUAUAUUAAAAUGAACCUCUUCAUUAUUCGAGUACUUAUACUGAAUAGUAUUGGGAAAAUCUUUUCUAAACCUUAACCAUUGGAUUUUGAGCCACGCCACCUUUGUUUUUGUUUUAGAUACUUUUCUGUUUAUUAUGCUACUUUCAAGUUCCUUAGUAAAAAAAAAUUUUGACUUAUCCAUUUCUACUAUGGUAAAGGGAUUUUUUAUAGCAUCUUAUGACUGUAUGCCAGUCUUGAAGUAUAUGUGGAUGGAAUUUCUUUUUCUAUGAUUCCGAAAUCUUGGUCGCAUGGUAAAUAGGAAUGACCACUUACAAGGAAUUUAUAAUCUAUUUCUUCCACACUAAAUAAUGGAGAUGCAGUAAGAUAGUUACAUAUCAAUGACAUUUUUAUAUUACGAUUCUGACCACCACAUUGGUCAGAAUACAUAAGUCUUUUCGAUGUAACAAAGUUUUUUAUGGAAUAUAAAAUACAAGAUCCCACUUCUUGCGGCCCCUUGGAAGCAAUACUUUCAUCCCAUAUAAACAUGAACGAAUUAUUGGUUCCAAUUUCAUGUAUAUUAAAGCAGUAAGUUCAUAACUGCCUUUUUUAGUAACAAAUGCCUGUGGUAAGUACAGGUGUAGGAAGAGUCUUCAUUAGAUCAAAACAUAUGACUGCUGCGUUUCCACUUUUUGCGAGUUCAGUAUCUCUUCUUAGGGUGUCUCUAGCACGUUGGGCCUUCCUUUGGUGAAGUUCCUUCUCAACUUCUAGUUGUUGCUUCACUUCAUCGUCGGCUGCUUUGAUUCUAAUCCUUAAUAAAUCGAAUUUUUUUUGCAAGAGUCAGUCAUCAGCGGAUGAAAGUGUAGGUUGAAUUCUUUAUUAAAAGUUUUUCGAAAAACAAAAUAGGACAGAGGAUUCUCUACUUCAUCUUUGUAUAGCUGGUACAUUUUACCAAGGCCCAAAUCUGGAGAUAAAUAUUUUCUGUGGCAGCUUUUUUCCCUGCUGGAAUGAGAUUCAUAACAAGGAAAUUUUUCAAUAAAUUUCUUUAACUCAUCUUUUUUUGCCUCGGCUGUUUUGUUAUGUGGUGGAUGUUUGCCCCGCUUGUCACAUGGUGGUGGUGUUCCUACAGAUUUAACUUUUAGAAGUCUAUACAAUCUCCCAGCAGAAACUUGAAAGACUGCUUGAAAAAACGGUUUGCACACUUUGUGCUCUACAUCUUCCUUAAUGGGUAAAUAAUAAAGCCUGUUUUUUUCUCUCUUAGAUUCUGGAUUCUGGGUGUAGGUACGUAACUUACCUACAACUUUAAUCAAGGCAAACAAGUAGGCAGUUUGCAAGUCAACGGAUUCUAAGGCAUAGAAAUUCUUAUGCAGUUCCAUUUGUCGUUCUACUGGAAUCAAAACUGAGCAUCUACACUGUAAAAAAUCGAGUGUUAAUUUUAACACGCAAAAGUGGUCUAUAUAGGUCCACACUAGUGCGUGUUAAAAUAACCACUGGCAAAAAGUGGUUGUUUUUAUUUAAAAAAAAAAAACAUUUAUUUUACCCAAUUUAGCGUGUUAAUAAACGAACGAAAAUAAAAUUUAAAAAAACCCCUUCCGUAUUAUUAAAAGUAUAUUUUGAGUGUCAAAUGUAUUUAAAUAAAAGUAACAUUUAAUCACCCACUUUGGUUUAAAUUAAAUUUACACAGGUGCUUAAAAUAUUUAUUUCGGGUUAAAUAUAUUUUAAAAAAAUAAAAAAGUACACUUAAUUUAUGGUUAAUUGAGUUAUAAAAAAUGGUAAAUUUAACUUACCUAGGGUUAAAAUUAUUUUUAUUAGUGUAAUAAAGAAUCUAUUUAGGUGGUAAUUUAUACUUUAAAUAAAAUAUAUUUUCCUUUAUUUUGUGUAAUAAGUAUUGAAUUUAAGGGUUAAAAGUAUUUUUUUAGUGUAUUUUUUUAUAAUUGGAGUGUGUUAGCCGAAAAAGAACUAAGCACAAUUUUUAAUUUACAAAAAAAAUAUUUAAAGUAUUUAUUUGUUUAAAUAAAAGCUUAAAACUAUUUCUAAAUAAUCUUUGGUACAUAUAUUAAAGAUUAUUAAGGAAGAGUUUUAAACUAUUCAUUUGAACAAAUACUAAUUAACAAGUUAAAAAGUAAUUAUUUGGCGCCUGGUUCCUUUUCGAAUUUAUCACCCCAAUUAUUACAUAUUGCAACUAUUUCGGUUAGUCUGUAUAUAUUUGAUAAAAAUGAAAAAAAAAACUAAAAAAAAAACGCAAAACUUCGUAUUCCAAACGAUUAAAUCAAAAAAGUUGUUCUAAGAAAGGAGAGCAAUUUCUUUUUAGGACAAAUACAAAUAAAAGGCAUAGCAAUCAAUUUCUUAGACAUUAUCUAUUAAAGAAUAAUAUAACAAACAUAAAAAAUAUAUAUUCUGGAACAAAAAUAUAUAGGAACCCAUAUUUUGAAAUAUAAAACCUUAAAAAAAAAUAAUUGGAGAUCAAAUUUAACCUUAUAACAAGAGUAGAUCUUAUACAGAUGAAAAAAACACUUAUGGCUUAUACAUAAAUCUCUGUCGCUUAAUUCCAUAAGCUGCAAAAAAUUUUAUUUUUAAGCUAAAAUAAAAAUAUAAAAAUAUUUUAGCACGGCGCUAAGUAUUUUAAUAGUGUUAAUAUAACACGCAAAAAAAUAAAAAUAAAAUUAAUUCAAUUUAACCACUUUAAAGUCUUGUUUAAGUGUUAAAAAAUACUACAUAGUAUACUUCAUAGUGUUAAAUUUAACACUCAAGAAAUUUACCACGCUGUUUAUUCUUUUUACCACCCUAUUAUUUUUUACAGUGUAGCUUUACACGCGCAUUCAAAAGGUUUCAAAGGUUUUGAUGGAACAGUUUUGCCAGAUUUGGUUAUGUACUCUCGUCCAGCACAUCUUCUCUUUUUAUUUAAGUUUAUUUUCCAUUUUUCAGGACUACGUACACGCUUCUUUGGUUUAGAAGUAUGGGGUAACACCCCUGCUGGCGCUGGUUCGGCUUCAUUAAAAUUCGUUUCUGUACCACCUUUGUCUUCUUCCCUAUGCCUAUUAGAUGCCUCUAAAUCUUUAUCCGAGGGCAAGUACUCCGACCCAGAAUCCGCAAAAGGGUCUCAUUCAAUGGUUGAGACGUCUGCAAAAAAAGAAAAUAAAAAAAUUCUUCUUUUUAAGAAUAACAACUUGAAUUUGAAAUUUUUGAGCAAAAGUGGACUAAGCCUAUCUAUUUAAUUAGUUUGAAACAGCAACGGUAAAUUAAGUUUUUGUUAUUGAUGUCUAAUGAUGUAUUGUAAAAAUAAAUAAAUUACAAUACAAUAUGAAGAAGUUCAUAGAGAUUAAAAAUUUCCUUUGAAAUCCAUCAUCCCUCUAGUCUUCACUACUCAUCAAAAUCGGAAAAAUAUACUGAAACACGUUGUCUUUAUUUUCUAACCUUAAACUAAAGUAUCAAAGCAACAAAAAUUGACAUUACAAACCUGAAAAAGGCAUGAAAGCUUCAAGUUUUAGAAUAGUCACAAAUAUUGUCCGGCAACCUUGCAAGAAUUACAGGGUUAUCAAAAUUAAAUUAAUCGAUAUAAGACUGCGAUCGAUAUUCGACUACUUUUCCCUACUUCAUUAUAUGCCUUUCAAAUAUUGAUUUUUGUUUUUCCAGCAUCCCACAUUUAUGUAAUUUUUUUAAAACCGCCCCCUAGACCUUUUUAAAUUUAUUCACGUGCCUAAGGGCAUGUAUUUAUGGGAGGUAAAUAUUUUCAUGUAUAGCUGCACUUAUAUUGUUUUCUUUAUUGUUUUUUAACGCGCACUGUUAGUUUACUGCAUCAGAAUAUUUUGUUAUAAAUUUAAUAAUGAGAUUAGCAUAUUAUUUUUUGUUUUAACUCUAUUGUAAACCGCAUAUUUUAAUUUUAUUAAUAAAAUAUUAAUUAUUUAA